rnacentral:rRNA from 1 species
AAAAUAAAAAUUAAUAAAAAUAAAUUUAAUAAAAGUAAUUUUAAUAUUAAAAUAAAUAAUGGGGGUUAAAGUAUUUUAAUAGAAAAAAUUAUGAAUUUUAUAGUGAAUUAGUAUAGUAGUAGAAAUUUGAAAUAAAUGAAAAAUAAUUUUUAAAAAAGUAAAUUUAAAUUAUUGUAUCUUGUGUAUCAGAGUUUAUUAAAUAAUGUUUUUAUAUAAAAAUAUCUCGAAUUUAAAAGAGUUAAUUAAUUAAUAAAGUUAAUGUAAAAUAAUUAUUUUAAAUAAUUAAUUUGAAAUGAAAUGUUAAUCGUUUUUAAAUAUAUCUAGUUAUUUUAGAAAAAAAUUUAAUUUUAAAUUUAUUUAUUCAUUAUAUUAAUUAAAUUAAUAUAAUAAAAAAUAAAUUUUAUAAUUUAAGGGAUAAGCUUUAAAUUAAAUUAUUAUAAUAAAUAAUUAAAAUAAAUAAAAUUUUUAAGAUUUAUAUUGUUUAAAAAUUAAAGUUUAUUAUAAAAAAUUUUAUUAAGAAUAAAAUUUAAAUUAAUUUAAUUUUUUAUAAAAAUAUAAUUUUUAAUAUAAAAAGAUUAGUAAUAAUGAUGGAAUUAGUAUAAUAAAAUAAAAAAAAAAUAAAUUUAUUUAAAAUUAAAUAAAAGGAAUUCGGCAAAAUUUAUAUUCACCUGUUUAACAAAAACAUGUCUUUUUGAAAAAUAAUUUAAAGUCUAAUCUGCCCACUGAUUUUAUAUUAAAGGGCUGCAGUAUAUUGACUGUACAAAGGUAGCAUAAUCAUUAGUCUUUUAAUUGAAGACUUGUAUGAAGGAUUUGAUGAAAUAUGAACUGUCUCUUAUUUAUAAAUAGAAUUUAAUUUUUUAGUUAAAAAGCUAAAAUGUAAUUAAAAGACGAGAAGACCCUAUAGAGUUUUAUAAUUAUUUAUUUAAAAUAUUUAUAUAAAAUUUUAAUAUUUUAUUUGAAUAAUUAUUAUAUUGGGGUGAUAAAAAAAUUAAUUAAACUUUUUUUAAAAUUUAACAAAAAUAAAUGAAUAAAUGAUCCAUAAAUAAUGAUUAAAAGAAAAAAUUACCUUAGGGAUAACAGCGUAAUAUUUUUUUAGUACAAAUAAAAAAAAAGUUUGCGACCUCGAUGUUGGAUUAAGAUAAAAUUUAAAUGCAAAAGUUUAAAAUUUUGAUCUGUUCGAUCAUUAAAAUCUUACAUGAUCUGAGUUCAAACCGGUGUAAGCCAGGUUGGUUUCUAUCUUUAAUAAAAUAGGAUAUUUUA